rnacentral:rRNA from 1 species
AACGUAGGACGCAAGCGUUAUCCGGAUUUACUGGGCGUAAAGGGCAGGCAGGCGGUUCGGUAAGUCGGAUGUGAAAUCUCCCUGGCUUAACCGGGAGAGUGCAUUUGAGACUGUCAACCUGGAGGGCAGCAGAGGAGCGUGGAAUUCCGGGUGGAGUGGUGAAAUGCGUAGAGAUCCGGAGGAACACCAGAGGCGAAAGCGGCGCUCUGGGCUGCACCUGACGCUGAACUGCGAAAGCCAGGGGAGCGAACGGG